rnacentral:rRNA from 1 species
CACGUAGGGGGCGAGCGUUGUCCGGAUUUAUUGGGCGUAAAGAGCUCGUAGGCGGCUCGGUAAGUCAGGUGUGAAACCUCCAGGCUCAACCUGGAGACGCCACCUGAUACUGCCGUGGCUUGAGUCCGGUAGGGGAGCGUGGAAUUUCUGGUGUAGCGGUGAAAUGCGCAGAUAUCAGAAGGAACACCAGCGGCGAAGGCGGCGCUCUGGACCGGUACUGACGCUGAGGAGCGAAAGCGUGGGUAGCAAACAGG